GGGCCUAUAGCUCAGUUGGUUAGAGCCGCCGACUCAUAAUCGGCUGGUCCCUGGUUCGAGUCCAGGUGGGCCCA
rnacentral:tRNA from 1 species